rnacentral:lncRNA from 1 species
CAUGGGUAUGACAUGGUUCCUACAUGGAUGAGCAAAAUAGUUGAUGCAGUUGGAAGACUUAAUAAGCCCGGUUUAUUUUCUCUGUCUCAUGGGAUGGCAUCACUUCUUCUUCCACCCCUGUUGCUCACCCACUUUGUUUUGCUCUUCAAAGGGUUAAUUGAGCCUUCUUUUUGGACUCAGGCACGUGCAACCAUGGAUUGACAUCACAUGCAUUAAUCUUAGCUUCAAUGUGCAAC